GUUGGUAUAGUUUAAUCGGUAAAACCCUCCGCUCAUAAUGGAGUAAAGAAGGUUCAAAGCCUUCUACCAACC
rfam:Trichosporon asahii var. asahii CBS 8904 mitochondrion, complete sequence, whole genome shotgun sequence.